rnacentral:misc_RNA from 1 species
UGCAGCAAGACCAACAUUGGU